GUGUCAGCAGCCGCGGUAAUACAGAGGUCCCGAGCGUUGUUCGGAUUCAUUGGGCGUAAAGGGUGCGUAGGUGGCAUGGUAAGUCGGGUGUGAAAUCUCAGGGCUCAACCCUGAAACUGCACUCGAUACUGCCGUGCUCGAGCACUGGAGAGGAGACUGGAAUUUACGGUGUAGCAGUGAAAUGCGUAGAUAUCGUAAGGAAGACCGGUGGCGAAAGCUAGUCUCUGGACAGUCGCUGACACUGAGGCACGAAGGCCAGGGGAGCAAACGGGAUUAGAAACCCCGGUAGUCC
rnacentral:rRNA from 1 species